AGUGAACGCUGGCGGUAGGCCUAACACAUGCAAGUCGAACGGCAGCACAGUAAGAGCUUGCUCUUACGGGUGGCGAGUGGCGGACGGGUGAGGAAUACAUCGGAAUCUACUUUUUCGUGGGGGAUAACGUAGGGAAACUUACGCUAAUACCGCAUACGACCUACGGGUGAAAGCAGGGGAUCUUCGGACCUUGCGCGAUUGAAUUAGCCGAUGUCGGAGUAGCUAGUUGGCGGGGUAAAGGCCCACCAAGGCGACGAUCCGUAGCUGGUCUGAGAGGAUGGUCAGCCACACUGGAACUGAGACACGGUCCAGACUCCUACGGGAGGCAGCAGUGGGGAAUAUGGGACAAUGGGCGCAAGCCUGAUCCAGCCAUACCGCGUGGGUGAAGAAGGCCUUCGGGUUGUAAAGCCCUUUUGUUGGGAAGGAAAAGCAGCAGGUUAAUACCCCGCUGUUCUGACGGUACCCAAAGAAUAAGCACCGGCUAACUUCGUG
rnacentral:rRNA from 1 species